CGGCGAGCACUCGCGUUCGCAACGUUCCCGUCCCCGGACGUGGACGGCCGUUAACACCGUACGACAUUUCGAUUAUGUAAUAACGGCGUAACAUGCGAUUUUAUGUAUUUAUGUGUAUCGCGUAUAAAAUGUAUUUACGAGGCGAGCGCGCGCCCGGUCUUACGGUAUUCCGCAACCGUCGCGGUAUUUGUUCGGGUUUUUUUUUUUCCGCG